rnacentral:lncRNA from 1 species
UUUGUGUUUGUUCUUGGUGGAUUGUUUCUUGGAAAAUUCUGAGUAGGAAAGAAUGUGGAUUGAGACAAAUUUGCAAUUGGUAUAGAAUGAUCUGGCUUCUUGAAACGAUUUAACAUAUCCUCAUAUGCAAUUAACUAAGAUUCAGCUUCAAUAAUUGUGAUUCUUCCCAUUUUUGCCUUAAUAGUGCCAAUAUAACUUUGGUACUCUUUUGUUAAGCCAUCUAAAAUAGCCUGAAUAUGAUCAUCAUCAGAGAAUGGUGAAUCUAGGGCAAUCAAAGAAUCCACCAAUUA